UACGUAGGGUGCGAGCGUUGUCCGGAAUUAUUGGGCGUAAAGAGCUUGUAGGCGGUUUGUCGCGUCUGCUGUGAAAAUCCGGGGCUCAACCCCGGACUUGCAGUGGGUACGGGCAGGCUAGAGUGUGGUAGGGGAGACUGGAAUUCCUGGUGUAGCGGUGAAAUGCGCAGAUAUCAGGAGGAACACCGGUGGCGAAGGCGGGUCUCUGGGCAGUAACUGACGCUGAGGAGCGAAAGCGUGGGGAGCAAACAGG
rnacentral:rRNA from 1 species